rnacentral:lncRNA from 1 species
UUUUCGAAUUAUGGACCAAGGUUGUGCUCGAUCGACGAGCGAAAUCUCAGAUGAUUCAACAUUUUCCGUGUGGUUUCCGAAUUAGCUAGCUUGCACUAUACGUGCUAUUUUUAUCACGUUUGUAAUAAAAUGCACCGGUCCAGCUCACAACAAAGUCAUUUAUUUUCAAUAGACAGGGAGACCCAACUCUACAGCUCAAUUAUAAUUUCAAAAUAAAUGAUUUAAAGUCCAAAUAGCAUGUCAAAAGCAUUAAUCAAAUAGAACUUUCGAAAAUAAAGAAAUCCAACGAAAAGCAUAUGGUUUAAAUGAAAGGAUGGAAAAUGAAGCAACAAAAUGUGCAGCUCACGAAAAGUUAAAUUUUUAAAAAGAAAAUCAGAGAGAUUGAUGGGUAACCUUUUGAGCUACCCUAAAGGAACUAAGAUUUUAUCCAUCUAGAUUGGGCUACACAAAUUCGACAACCAGGUUACCUACUGUUUUUAGGUUGGGACUAUGCAGUGUUUUAUGAAUUUUUAGACCAUGAUGCAAAGACUCAAAAAAUUUAGCCAAAAUUCGUGGAGUCUGCUGGGUAUGUCUACAAGCUACUGUUAAAAGAUAGCAUGAUUAUCUUUUACGGUUUGGACUACAUAAAAAGAAGAACGCCGCUGUCUAAAGAUUUCAGAACACGGUUAUGCACACUAAUUGAGUUUUUACCCUAUGAUACAAAGGUCCAAAAAUCACACCAAAAUUCAUGAUGCCUAUUCUACAUGUUCCUUGUAAAAAUUCUCAGGUCUAUCGUCUACGGUUUAGCCUAGGCAAAAUUAACAGACUGACUCGAAAUUCCAAAACACGAUCAACCGACACAGAAAGAAACUUCAUUCAUGUUUUAAGUUACCUAAAUUCCUCAUCUUUUGUUUACAUUAGGUUAGGGUGGUACAGAGGCUAUGUGAAUUUUGGGUGGUCCAUCUAAGCAACAAUCUACAGGUUUAAGCACAACAAUUUUAUCCUUCACAAACUACCCAUUCUAGACCAUGUCAGUAAAAUUUGAAAUGUCGGAAGAGAGGAGUUCAAAAUCUACCAAAUUCAUUUUUUUUGGUGCAGAGAUAACAUAAGGAGAUGGAAACCAUAUCAUGUCUUUCAAGAUUUAAAUUUUAUCCAUCCAUUUUCAAAUCCUAUAACUAGAGGCUAUUUUUAACCCGAUAUUUUGCAAAUCCGUACUAGUACAUAGGUGAUUGCAAAUGGAUUUCAAAACUUUUCAAAACACUUUGGAACUGAUUUUUUAUGAUUAAUAAGUGUUUUCAAACUCAUUUUCACUUUAGUACAAGCUUUCAAAAGGUCUCGGUCCUAUAGAGCAAGAUAAGAGUUUUCAAAAUCAAAAUAGAGACCUAGAGGAAAGUAAUCUCUAGAGAGGGAUGAUAUAUAAGGUUGAAUAUGAUUUUCGCAAAAUAAUUUGUAGCUGAGAGCAAAACCCUCAAAAUAAUUUUAAGAAACCAUUCUAAACGACCAACUUAAGGGGUUCCUAUAGUUGGUAUUAGCUCUGGUACCAUGCCUGUGGAGGACACCUGAACUUUACAUUAUAUCUGCCAAUUGAAGUGAACAAUUCAAAUCAAGUAGCAGGCAUAAUGUAAAAUCCGAAGCCUCAAGUAAAGGAUAUAGGAGACAUUGCUGGGACUUUAGCUUGCCAGUUAACUUCAGCCUGAGAUGUGUCCGUCAAACCACACGAAGGCAGUGACUAGAUGUGUUACACAUUCAGGAAACUUGACGAAAAUAGCUAAAGCUCUACGACAUCCCAAAUAUCCUAAACCCUUACUCAUGUGGAACUAGUUCCUAGGAUAUCCACUAGCUUCACACUUUCAUCUUAAGCAAUGAUACACAGAAGAAAAUACAAGACAAACAAAAUUCAAUUACAACUACUUUAGUUAUACAUAGGCCAACUAGCCAAAUAAUCAGAGAUUCGCGCAAGCUUGCCUACCCAAACAACAAGCAAACCGACUAGGGGGUUGACCCCAAUUAGAAUCUAAUUCCUAGAAGAAACGGUUGAAACCCGCAUCACUCAAUAAACACUAAGCAUACAACCUACAAAAAUGGAUACUCUAGUAUAACAAGAGUCAGUACAUCAUUAGAAAUAAUGUACUGCCAAGCCUAAAGCAAUUCUAACAUAUUACAUGCAGGGCAUAUAUUCAAGGAAGGCUAUAUGUAGUUAAAUUUUAGCGUAAAGCAAGUUUUGGUUCACAAUUCCUUUCAAAGGAGUUGAUGAUUCAAUUAACAAAACAAAUUCUGUAAUUAUAUCAUAAAGAACAUCAUAGUACCAUCAUAAGCAUAGCUGCCUUCCUUGGCAAGGCAUAAUAUCAUCAUCACACGCGCACACACACUCAACACAACACAUUUCAAGAGAGAAAACUAGAAAUGUUUGAUACACGCAAACCAUGAUUUUCAUAAAGGCUUGGAUGUGCAACAAAAUGCAUGGAUGAGAAAUGAAGCGUAACGAAGAAACCAAUAAAUCGUUAGGGACAAGCAAACUAUGAUUUGCAUAAAAUCAGUAAGCUGCAAUCAAAUGUAGACGUCUAGCUCGCAACCAAGAUAUUCUUCGAUAAACAGGGUAACAUAACUAUAAAAAUUAAAUUAGUUAUAAGUCUACUAUUAAAACGUCGGAGCACAAAAAAGCCGCAAGGAUUAAAUACAAGCAAAUAUUUUCUUUUCACAAACUAGUAAGCAUAAGUUUAUACAAAAUUUCACAAACUAAAAUAAAGCUUUAAAGUCCAAAGAGAAGUUCCAAAAAGAGAAAAAUUGUAACUGAAGAAAUCAAACUUAAAGUACCAAGUUGAAAUUUAAUGUUGAAAAAAAAACCGUUACGCGAGAAACAAAAGUAAGAUUCAACGAAAGGACGGAAAAUGAAACAUCAAGGAAGAAACCUAGAAUCAUUUGAUACAAAAAAGCCGCAAGGUUUAAAUGCAAGCAUAUAUUUUCCUUUCACAAACAAGUAAGCAUAUGUUCGAACAAAAUUUUCGAAAGCGUCAACGGAGAAACCAAUAAAUUGUUCGGACAAGCAUACUACGAUUUUCAUAAAACCAAAUAGCAUGUCAAAAACAUUAAUACAAUAGAACUUUCGAAAAUAAAGAAAUCCAACAAAAAUAAUAUGGUUUAAACGAAAGGAUGGAAAAUGAAGCAUCAAGGGAGAAAACUAGAAAUGUUUGAUAAAAUGAAACCAUGAUUUUCAUAAAGGCAUAGAUAUGCAACAAAAUGCAAGGGUGCAGCUCACGAAAAGUUAUGGAUUAAAAAUGAAGCGUCAACGGAGAAACCAAUAAAUCGUUCCGAACAAGCAAAUUAUGGUUCUCAUAAAAUCAAUAGGAUGCAACCAAAUGUAGAUGUCUAGCAUGUAACCAAUAUAUUAUUUUCGAUAAAUAGGGACACGAAACUCUUGAACUUAGUUCUAAGUCUACGAUUAAAACGCCAGAGCACAAAAAAGCCGCAAGGUUUAAAUGCAUGCAACUAUUUCCUUUUCGAAUAUGGGUCAGCCUACUUAGGAAUUCAUAUUAUUUAUGUGGCUCUUACGAUGAUUUUGUCUUUGGUGGGGGUGGUAUGAGAACCUAUCCUUGUUUGGUUGGUGGAAUACGAUCUAAGGUGUAAUGGCUAUGUUGUUUUCCAAUAACAAUACGAUAUUAUUGAUUUUAAAUGUUUAUAAAACUUUUCAAGAAUACUUGAUUUAGAAUCUCUAACCAUUAGGAUGUAACAAGGUUCAAGUCUUCAUGGUCUACAGUCAUGAUCUAACCUUGUUGAUCUCACAUUCGAUAAAUUUAAGUUUUAGGACAGCAAGUAAGGCGGUUGGGAAAAUAAGGAUAAAUUGAACAAAACUCUGGGUUACAUCUUAGGGGUUGACAAUAUUUGUUCUCCAGUUGCUAAUUAGUCAUAUGCAAUCUAAUCCAAGGUGUUCUAGGAAUAUUUGUCGAGUCAUACUGGAUGCAUCAGGACGGUCUCAUUAUGUGCAUCCAUAAACUUGGUCGUGGUAGAAAACGGGAUGCUAGAUGGCAUGUGCAGCAAUAACUUUUCUUUUUCUCAAAAAGGCAAAGAUGUAUGUAUGAUAUCAUGAUGAAUGAAAUGAUGCGAUGCAUGUAUGAUAUGAUACAAUGCUUAUGGAGAUAUUUUGUAUUGCGUACAUGCCAUAGAACAAUCCUUUCGGGAAAAUUGUUCUUGAGACUAUUGAUCCUACUCAUGGUUUUUCAUGGGCAUUGGAAUGGUUGUAACUCUUUAUACGCUAUAGGCUAGGAUAAGGUGACAAAAUUAAACAUUUUUUUACCUAGACUCGUAACAAAGUUCUCCUUAUCUAGGAAAGAGAUGGUAAUUUUAAAACAAAUGGAUUAUCUUAGAGAAGUUUUCAAAACCUAAAAGUGAAGUUCCUAAACCAUGUUGUGAGUUGCUACGAUGUACAAAUCUUGCAUCCGACCGUAAAGGGUCACAAAAUUUGCACACUGAGCCAUCUCAUCUUAAAUUACAUAGUUUGCUUACGACUUGUUCCUAGUAUGAUAUUUCCAUUUAGGCUUGUGGGGGCUUGCAAAGGUUACAUGUUGUCUCUGGGUUUGUAAGUUCAUGGCACUCUAUCCCCCUUAAAAUAAAAUAAAAUUUUGCAAUGGGGUUUAUCAAGAAAUUUAAAUGGAAGAGCUAAAUAGGUCUAUGUGCCAUAUGCUGUACUAUCCAGUCCCGAGGCGCAAACUGAAGCAAAAGACUAUGCUAGAUGGGUGAUAAAUUAGAAAAAAAUUAUAUCCAUGAUCCUAACAAAGUUUUCUCCUAUCUGGGAAGGAAUGUUGAUUUUUUGGACAAAUAGAUUAUUUUAGAGAAAUUGGGCAAGACAAGUGAUGCAGUGCUGGAAUUUAUCGGUCUACUAUCUUUACCUAAUUUUUAGGUAAGUUCUAAAGGUUCAUAAGAAAUUUUUAAAAAGAAAAUCAGAGAGAUUGAUGGGUAACCUUUUGAGCUACCCUGAAAGAACCAAGAUUUUAUCCCUUCUAGAUUGGGCUACACAAAUUCGAUAAACAAAGUAUUUUUUUUUCGAUAAACAAGGUAACGUAACAACAAAAAUUAAAUUAGUUAUAAGUCUACUAUUAAAAUGCCGGAACACAAAAAAGCCGCAAGGUUUAAAUGCAAGCAAAUAUUUUCUUUUCACAAACUAGUAAGCAUAAGUUUAUACUACAAAAUUUAGGAAAUUGAGAUUUCAAAACGAAAAUAAAGCUUUAUAGUCCAAAGAGAAGUUCCAAAAAGAGAAAAUUUGUAAUUGAAGAAAUCAAACUUAAAGUACCGAGUUGAAACCUAAUGUUGAAAGAAAAACCCGUUACGCAAGUAAGAUUCAACGAAAGGACGGAAAAUGAGUUAUAAGUCGAAAAUGAAAAUGGUAGAGAACAAAAAAGCCCAAGAUUUAAAUGCAAGGAAAUAUUUUCUUUUCACUAACUAGUAAGCAUAAGUUCAAUCAAAAUUUAGGAAAUCUGAUAUUUCAAAACUGAAUUAAAGCUUUAACGUCCAAAGAGAAUAUCAAAAGCAUUAGUAGGAGAGAAAGUUCGAAAACAAAGAAAUCCAACUAAAAGCGUUCAGUUUGAAUGAAAGGACGGAACAUUGAAGCGUGAAGGGACAAACCUAAAAACGAUCCAUACAAGGAAAUCAAGAUUUUUAUAGAAGCUUCAAGGUGCAACAGAAUGUAUGGGUCCAGUUUACAACGAUGUUAUUUGUUUUCAAUAAACAAGAAGACGAAUCCAAAUAACUCAAUUAAUAAGUUCAAAAUUAACGUCAGAGCAAAAUAAAACGGUCAGGCUUCAAUGCAAAAGAAUAUUUUGCUUUUAUAAAACAGAAAAAAAAAGUUCAAACAAACUUAAGGAAGAUUAACCGUGACAACGAAAAAAAUUGCAAACUCCAAAAAGGAUAUUUGAAGAAUCAAUGCAAGAAGAACAUUACAAAAUCAAGGAAUCCAACUAAAAGUACAAAAUUUUAAACUUAUGGAUAAAAAAUAAAGCGUCAACGAAGAACCCAUAAAUCGUUUGGAACAAGUAAACUACGGUUUUCAUAAAAUCAAAAUGAUGCUACCAAAUGUAGAAGUCUAGCCCGCAACCAAGAUAUUUUUUCGAUAAACAGGGAAACGUAACUCUAGAACUUAGUUAUAAGUCUACGAUUAAAACACCAGAGCACAAAAAAGCCGCAAGGAUUAAAUGCAAGCAAUAUUUUCACGAACCGGUAAGCAUAAGUAGAUACAAAAUUUAGGAAAUUGAGAUUUCAGAACUAAAAUAAAGUUUUAAAGUCCAAAGAGAAGUUCCGAAAAGAGAGUACCUAGUUGAAAUUCAAGUGUGAAAAACAACCGUCACUUGAGAAACCAAAAUAAAGUUUUAAAGUGCAGUUAGCGUGUCAAAAGCAUUAAUACAAGAGAACUUUCGAAAAUAAAUAAAUCCAACGAAAAGCAUAAUGUUUAAAGGAUAGGUUGGAAAAUGAAGCAUCAAGGGAGAAAACUAGAAAUGUUUGAUACAAAGAAACUGUGACUUUUAUAAAGGAUUAGAUGUGCAACAAAAUGCAUCGGUCCAGCUCACAAAAGGUUAUUUGUUUUCAAUAAACAGGGAGACCCGACUCUACAACUCAAUUAUAAGUUCAAAAUUAACGUCGGAGCAAAAUAAAACGGUUAGGCCUCAAUGUAAAAUGAAUAUUUUGUUUUGUUAAACCAGAAAACAAAGUUCAAUCAAACUUUACGAAGACGAACCGUGACAACCAAAAAAAAAAGGAAACUCCAAAAAAGAUAUUUGAAGAAUGGAUGCAAGAAGAACGUUACAAAAUCUAGAAGCGUCAACGAAGAAAACAAUAAAUUGUUAGGGACAAGCAAACUACGAUUUUCAUAAAAUCAGUAAGAUGCAACCAAAUAUAACGUAAACCCGCAACAAAGAUAUUUUUUCUCGAUAAACAGGGUAACGUAACUAUAGAAAUUAAAUUAGUUAUAAGUCUACUAUUAGAUCAUCAGAGCAAAAAAAAAGCCGCAAGGUUUAAAUGCAAGCAAAUAUUUUCUUUUCAAAAAACUAGUAAGCAUAAGUUUAUACAAAAUUUAGGAAAUUGGGAUUUCAGAACUAAAAUAAAGCUUUAGAGUGCAAAUAGAAGUUCAAAAAAAGAGAAAAUUUGUAAUUGAAGAAAUCAAAUUUAAAGUACCAAGUUGAAACUUAAUGAUGAAAAAAAUCGUUACACGAGAAAGAACAGGAAAUAUUUAAAGUCCAAAUAGCAGAACGUUAAAAAAAAAGCAAUCCAACUAAAAGCAUAAAGUUUAAAUGAGAAGACGGAAAUGAAGCGUCAAGGGAGAAACCCAUAAACGUUUGGUACAAGGAAACCAUGAUUUUUCAUGAACUUAAGGAAGAUGAACUGGGACAACGAAAAAAAAAAUGGAAACACCAAAAAGGACAUUUGAAGAAUAGAUGCAAGAAAAACGUUACAAAAUCAAGGAAUCCAACUAAAAGUAAAAAACUUAAACUUAUGGAUGAAAAAUAAAGCGUCAACGAAGAACCGAUAAAUCGUUCGAAACAAGCAAACUACCGUCAUCAUAAAAUCAUUAGGAUGCAACCAAAUGUAGACAAAAAAUACCAAGUUGAAACCCAUGGAGUAAUAUAAAAAAAAGGUCACACGAGAAACCAAAAUAAAGUAUUAAAUUCCAAAUAGCAGAUCAAAAGUAUUAAUAGAGGAGAUUGUUCGAAGAUAAAGAAAUCCAACUAAAAACAUAAAGUUUAAACGAGAGGACGGAAAAUGAAGCGUCAAGGGCGAAACCUAGAAGCGUUUGAUACAAGGAAAACGUGAUUUUCAAAAACCUUCAAGGUGCAAAAAAAAAAAAAUGCAUGGGUCCAGCUCUCAAUAAAGUUAUUUGUUUUCGAUAAACAUGGAGACCCAACUAUACAGCUCAAGUAUUCAAGUUAUUUGUUUUCAAUAAACGGGGAGACAAAACUCUACAAAUCAACUAAAAGAUCAAAAUUAACGACAAAUCAAAAUAAAUCGGUCAGAGCUUAAUGCAAAAGAAUAUUUUGUUUUUAUAAACCAGAAAACAAAGUUCAAACAAACUUAAGGAAGACGAACCGUGACAACAAAAAUAAUUGGAAACUCCAAAAGGAUAUUUGGAGAAUUGAUGCAAGAAGAAUGUUUCAAAAUCAAGGAAUCCAACUAAAAGUACAAAAUAUAAAUUUCUCGAUGAUAAAUGAAGCAUCAACGGAGAAACCAAGAAAUCGUUUGGUACAACCAAACUACGAUUUUCAUAAAAUCAAUUAGAUGUGACCGAAUAAAGACAUCCAGCUCGCAACUAAAUAUUUUUUUGAUAAAAAAAGGAGACGUAACUCUAGAGUUUAAAUAUAAGGCGAAAAUUAAAACGUCAGAGCACAAAAAAGCCGCAAGGUUUAAAUGCGAGCAACUAUUUUUUUUCACAAACUAGUAAGCAAAAGUUCAUACAGAAUUUAGGAAAUAAAGCUUUAAAGUCUGAAGAGAAGUUCCAAAAAGAGAAUCUUUAUAAUUGAAGAAAUCGAACUAAAAGUACCAAGUUAGAACUUAAUGAUGAAAAAAAUAGAUCGUCACGCGAGAAACCAAAGUAAAGUUUUCAUAAACCAGGUAUCAAAGUUCAAACCAACUUAAGGAAGACGAACGGUGAUAACCGAAAAAUUUGGAAACUCCAAAAAGGAUAUCUGAAGAAUGAAUGCAAGAAGAACGUUUGAAAAUAAAGGAAUCCACUUAAAAGUACAAAAUUUAAAACUUACGGAUGAAAAAUGAAGUGCCAAUGGAGAAACCAAUAAAUCGAUCGGACAAGCAUACUACGAUUUUCAUAAAACCAAAUAGCAUGUCAAAAGCAUUAAUACAAUAGAACUUUCGAAAACAAAGAAAUACAACGAAAAUAAUAUGGUUUAAACGAAAGGAUGGAAAAUGAAGCAUCAAGGGAGAAAACUAGAAAUGUUUGAUAAAAUGAAACCAUGAUUUUCAUAAAGGCAUAGAUGUGCAACAAAAUGCAAGGGUGCAGCUCACGAAAAGUUAUGGAUUAAAAAUGAAGCGUCAACGGAGAAACCAAUAAAUCGUUCCGAACAAGCAAACUACGGUUCUCAUAAAAUCAAUAGGAUGCAACCAAAUGUAGAUGUCUAGCCUGUAACCAAGAUAUUGUUUUUCGAUAAAUAGGGACACGAAACUCUUGAACUUAGUUCUAAGUCUACGAUUAAAACGCCAGAGCACAGAAAAGCCGCAAGGUUUAAAUGCAUGCAAGUAUUUCCUUUUCGAAUCUGGGUCAGCCUACUUAGGAAUUCAUAUUAUUUAUGUGGCUCUUACGAUGAUUUUGUCUUUGGUGAGGGUGUUAUGAGAACCUAUCCUUGUUUGGUUGGUGGAAUACGAUCUAAGGUGUCAUGGCUAUGCUGUUUUCUGAUAACAUUACGAUAUUAUUGAUUUUAAAUGUUUAUAAAACUUUUCAAGAAUACUAGAUUUAGAAUCUCUAACCAUCAGGAUGUAACAAGGUUCAAGUCUUCAUGGUCUAAGGUCAUGAUCUAACCUUGUUGAUCUCACAUUCGAUAAAUUUAAGUUUUAGGACAACAAGGCGAUUGAGAAAAUAAGGAUAAAUUGAACAAAACUUUGGGUUACAUCUUAGGGGUUGGCAAUAUUUGUUCUCCUGGUGCUAAUUAGUCAUAUGUAAUUCUAGGAAUAUUUGUCGAGUCAUACUGGAUGCAACAGGACGGUCUCAUUAUGUGCAUCCAUAAACUUGGGUCGUGGUAGAAAACGGGAUGCUAGAUGGCAUGUAUAGCAAUAACUUUUCUUUUUCUCAAAAAGGCAACGAUGUAUGCUAUGAUAUCAAGAUGAAUGAAAUGAUGCGAUGCAUGUAUGAAAUGACACAAUGCUUAUGAAGAUAUUUUGUAUUGCACACAUUUUUUUUUGAUGGAAGGCAAAAGCUCAUGCCAUACAUGCCAUAGAACAAUCCUUUCGGAAAAAUUGUUCUUGAGACUAUUUGUCCUACUCAUGGUUUAUCAUGGGCAUGGGAAUGGUUGCUACUCUUUAUAGGCUUUAGGCUAGGAUAAGGUGACAAAAUUACUUUUUUUUUACUCAGACUCGUAACAAAGUUCUCCUUAUCAAGGAAAGAGAUGGUAAUUUUAAAACAAAUGGAUCAUCUUAGAGAAGUUUGCAAAACCUAAAAGUCAAGUUCCCAAACCAUGUUUGUGAGUUGCUACGAUGUACAAAUCUUGCAUCCAACCGUAAAGGGGCACAAAAUUUGCACACUGAGCCAUCUCAACUUAAAUUACAUAGUUUGCUUAUGACUUGUUCCUAGUAUGAUAUUUCCAUUUAGGCUUGUGGGGGCUUGCAAAGGUUACAUGUUUUGUCUCUGGUUUGUAAGGUCAUGGCACUCUAUUCCCCUUAAAAUAAAAUAAAAUAAAAUUUUGCAAUGGGGUUUAUCAAGAAUUUUAAUGGAAGAGCUAAAUAGGUCUAUGUGCCCAUAUGCUAUACUAUCCAGUCCCGAGGCGCAAACUGAAGCAAAAGACUAUGCUAGAUGGGUGAUAAAUUAGAAAAAAAACUAUAUUCAUGAUCCUAACAAAGUUUUCUCCAAUCUGGGUAGGAAAGGUAAUUUUUUGGACAAAUAGAUUAUUUUAGAGAAAUUGGUCAAGACAAGUGAUGCAGUGCUAGAAUUUACCGGUCCACUAUCUUUACGUAAUUUUUAGGUCAAGUUCUAAAGGUUCAAAAGAAAUUUUUAUAAAGAAAAUUAGAGAGAUUGAUGGGUAACCUUUUUGAGCUACCCUAAACGAACCAAGAUUUUAUCCCUUCUAGAUUGGGCUACACAGAUUCGAUAAACAAGGUAUGUUUUUCGAUAAACAGGGUAACGUAAGUAUAGAAAUUAAAUUAGUUAUUAGUCUACUAUUAAAACGUCGGAGCACAAAAAAGCCGCAAGGUUUAAAUGCAAGCAAAUAUUUUCUUUUCACAAACAAGUAAGCAUACGUUCAAACAAAAUUACAGAAAUUACCAUUUUAGAAGUAAAAUAAAGCAUUCAAUUCUAAAGAGAAGUUUCAAAAAGAGAAACUUUGUAAUUGAAGAAGUCAAACUUAAAGUAUCAAGUUGAAACUUAAUGUUGAAAAAAAACCGUUACGCGAGAAACAAAAGUAAAGAUUCAACGAAAGGACGAAAAAUGAAACAUAAGGGAGAAACCUAAAAACGUUUGAUACAAAAAAGCCGCAAGGUUUACAUGCAAGCAAAUAUUCUUUUCACAAAUAAGUAAGCAUAGAUUCAAACAAAAUUUUGGUAAUUUACAUUUUAGAAUUAAAAUAAAGAUUUAAAGUGCAAAGAGAAGUUCCAAAAAGAGAAACUUUGUAAUCGAAGAAAUCAAACUAAAAGUACCAAGUUGAAUCUGAACAAUGAAAAAAGAACCGUCCCGCAGGAAACCAUAGUAAAGUUUUAAAGUCCAAAUACACAUCAAAAGCAUGAAUACAAGAGGCUAAUAAAUCGUUCAGAACAAGCAAAAACUGCGGUUUUCAUAAAAUCGAAAGGAUGCAACCAAAUAUAUACGUCUAGCCCGCAGCAAAGAUAUUUUUUCGAUAAGCAGGGAAACGUAACUCUAGAACUUAGUUAUAAGUCUACGAUUAAAACGUCAUAGCACACAAAAGAGCCGCAAGGUUUAAAUGCUAGAAAUAUUUUCACAAACCAGUAAGCACAGUACAUACAAAAUUUAGGAAAUUGAGAUUUCAGAACUAAAAUAAAGUUUUAAAGUUCAAAGAGAAGUUCCAAAAAGAGAGUACCAAGUUAAAAUUCAAGUGUGAAAAAACAACCGUCCCUCGAGAAACCAAAAUAAAGUUUUAAAGUGCAGUUGGCGUGUCAAAAGUAUUAAUACAAGAGAACUUUCGAAAAUAAAUAAAUCCAACGAAAAGCAUAAUGUUUAAACGAUAGAACAGAAAAUGAAUCGUCAAGGGAGAAACCUAGAAAUAUUUGAUACAAGGAAAACAUGAUUUUCAUAAAAGCUUUAAGGUGCAACAAAAUGCAUGGGCCCAGCUCAUAACAAAGUUAUUUGUUUUCAAUACACAGGGAGACCCAACUAUACACACAACUAUAAGCUCAAAAUUAACGUCAGAAUAAAAUAAAAUGGUUGGUCAUAGCACAAAAAAGCCACAAGGUUUAAAUGCAAGCAAAUAUUUUCUUUUCACAAUUAAGUAAGCAUAAGUUCAAACAAAAUUACAAAAAUUGCCAUUUCAGAAGUAAAAUAAAGCUUUCAACUCUAAAGAGAAGUUCCAAAAAGAGAAACUUUGUAAUUGAAGAAAUGAUUCAACGAAAGGACGGGAAAUGAAACGUCAAGGGAGAAACCUAGUAACGUUUGAUAAAAAAAGCCGCAAGGUUUAGAUGCAAGCAAAUAUUUUCUUUUCACAAACAAGCAUAGAUUCAAACAAAAUUUUGGUAAUUUACAUUUCAGAACUAAAAUAGCAUGUCAAAAGUUUUAAAGUCCAAAUAGCAUGUCAAAAGCAUGAAUACAAGAGAACAUUCGAAAAUAAAGAAAUCCAGCAGAAAGCAUACAGUAAAAUGAAAGGAUGUAAAAUAAAGCGUCAAGAGAGAAGCCUAGAAAUGUUUUAUACAAGGAAACUGUAAUUUUCAGAAAAGAUUGAACGUGCAACAAACUAUAAGGGUCCAGCUCACAAAAAAGUUAGUUGUUUUCAAUAAACUGGGAGACUCAACUCUAGAACUAACGGCAGAGCAAAACAAAUCGGUACGGCUUAAAGCAAAAGAAUAUUUUGUUUUUAUAAACCAGAAAACAAAGUCCAAACAAACUUCAGAAGAUGAACCGUGACAACAAAAAUAAUUGGAAACUCAAAAAAAGAUAUUUGAAGAAUGUUUCAAAAUCAAGGAAUCCAAUUAAAAGUACAAAAUAUAAAUUUCUCGAUGAAAAAUGAUGCCUCAACGGAGAAACCAAGAAAUUGUUUGGUACAACCAAACUACGAUUUUCAUAAAAUCAAUAAGAUGCAACCGAAUGUAGACAUCCAGCUCGCAACCAAAAUAUUUUUUUUUUGAUAAAAAGGAGGCGUAACUCUAGAAUUUAAUUAUAAGGCCAAAAUUAAAACGACAUAGCACAAAAAAACCCCACAAGGUUUAAAUGCACACAAAUAUGUUCUUGUGAAAAAUUAUUAAUCAUAAGUUCAAACAAAAUUUCAGAAACUGAGAUUUCAGAACUAAAAUAAAGAUUUAAUGUCCAAAGAGAAGAUAAAGAAAGAGAAACUUUGUAAUUGAAGAAAUCAAACUAGCAGAACUAAACCGAAACUCAAGGAUGAAAAAACAACCAUCACUCGAGAAACCAAAAUAAAGUUUUAAAGACCAAAUAGCAUGUCAAAAGCAUUAAUACAAGAGAACGCUCGAAAAUAAAGAAAUCCAACUAAAUGCAGUAGGUUUAAACGAAAGGACAAAAAAUGAAUCGUCAAGGGAGAAUCCUAGAAAUGUUCGACACAAGGAAACCUUGAUUUUCAUAAAAGCUUCAAGGUGCAACAAAAUGCAUGGGCCCAGCUCACAACAAAGUUAUUUGUUUUCGAUAAACAGGGAGACUCAACUCUACAACUCAAUUAUAAGAGCAAAAUAAAUCAAUUAGGCUUCAAUGCAAAAGAAUAUUUUGUUUUUAUAAACCAGAAAACAAUGUUCAAACAACCUUAAGAUGAACCAUGACAACAGAAAAAAAUUGGAAACUCCAAAAAGGUUAUUUGAAGAAUCGAUGCAAGAAGAACAUUACAGAAUCAAGGAAUCCAACUAAAUGUAAAAAAAUUAAACUUAUGGAUGAAAAAUGAAGCGUCAACGAAGAAACCUAUAAAUCGUUCGGAACAAGCAAACUACGGUUAUCAUAAAAUCAACAGGAUGCAACCAAAUGUAGACGUCUAGACCGCAACCAAGAUAUUUUUUCGAUAAACAGGGAAACAUAACUCUAGAACUUAGUUAUAAGUCUACGAUUAAAACAUCAGAGCACAAAAAAGCCGCAAGGACUAAAUGCAAGCAAUAUUUUCACGAACCAGUAAGCAUAAGUACAUAAAAAAUUUAGGAAAUUGAGAUUACAGAACUAAAAUAUAGUUUUAAAGUCCAAAGAGAAGUUCCAAAAAGGGAGUACCUAGUUGAAAUUCAAGUGUGAAAAACAACGUCACUCAAGAAACCAAAAUAAAGUUUUAAAGUGCAGUUAGCGUGUCAAAAGCAUUAAUACAAGAGAACUUUCUAAAAUAAAUAAUCGAACGAAAAGCAUAAUGUUUAAACGAUAGGUUGGAAAAGGAAUCGUCAAAGGGAGAAAACUAGAAAUGUUUGAUACAAGGAAAACGUGACUUUUAUAAAGGAUUAGAUGUGCAGCAAAAUGCAUCAUUCCAGCUCACAAAAGGUUAUUUGUUUUCAAUAAAUAGGGAGACCCGACUCUACAACUCAAUUAUAAGUUCAAAAUUAACGUCAGAGCAAAAUAAAUUUGUUAGGCCUCAAUGCAAAAUGAAUAUUUUGUUUUAUUAAACCAGAAAACAAAGUUCAAACAAACUUUAUGAAGAAGAACCGUGACAACCAAAAAAAAAAUUGGAAACCCCAAAAAAGAUAUUUGAAGAAUGGAUGCCAGAUGAACGUUAAAAAAUCUAGAAGCGUCAACGAAGAAAACAAAAAAUCUUGAGGGAUAAGCAAACUGUGAUUUUCAUAAAAUCAGUAAGAUGCAACCAAAUAUAGCAUAAACCCGCAAAAAAGAUAUUUUUUUCGAUAAACAGGAUAACGUAACUAUAGAAAUUAAAUUAGUUAUAAGUCUACUAUUAGAUCAUCAGAGAAAAAAAAGCCGCAAGGUUUAAAUGCAAGCAAAUAUUUUCUUUUCAAAAACCAGUAAGCAUAAGUUUAUACAAAAUUUAGGAAAUUGGGAUUUCAGAACUAAAAUAAAGCUUUAAGUGCAAAGAGAAGUUCAAAAAGGAGAAAAUUUGCAAUUGUAGAAAUCAAACUUAAAGUACCGAGUUGAAACUUAAUGAUGAAAAAAAAUCGUUACGUGAGAAAGAAUAGGAAUGAUUUAAAGUCCAAAUAGCAAAACGUUCACAAAAAGAAGUAAUCCAACUAAAAGUAUAAAGUUUAAAUGAGAAGACGGAAAUGAAGCGUCAAGGGAGAAACCCAUAAACGUUUGGUACAAGGAGCGAUUUUUCAUGAACUUAAGGAAGACGAACCGUGACAACGAAAAAAAAUUGGAAACUCCAAAAAUGACAUUUGAAGAAUAGAUGCAAGAAGAACGUUACAAAUCAAGGAAUCCAACUAAAAGUACAAAAUUUAAACUUAUGGAUGAAAAAUAAAGCAUCAACAAAGAACCGAUAGGAUAAAUCAUUCGGAACAAGCAAACUACAGUCAUCAUAAAAUCAAUAGGAUGCAACCAAAUGUAGACAGAAAAUACCAAGUUGAAACCCAUGGAUAAAAAAAAAGGUCACACGAGAAACCAAAGUAAAGUAUUAAAGUCCAAAUAGCAAACCAAAAGUAUUAAUAGAGGAGAUCGUUCGAAGAUAAAGAAAUCCAACUAAAAACAUAAAGUUUAAACGAGAGGGGCAAAACCUAGAAGAGUUUGAUACAUGGAAACCAUGAUUUUUCAAAAACCUUCAAGGUGCAACAAAAUGCAUUGGUCCAGCUCUCAAUAAAGUUAUUUGUUUUCGAUAAACAUGGAGACCCAACUAUACAGCUCAAGUAUUCAAGUUAUUUGUUUUCAAUAAACGGGGAGACAAAACUCUACAAAUCAACUAAAAGAUCAAUAUUAACGACAAAUCAAAAUAAAUCGGUCAGAGCUUAAUGCAAAAGAAUAUUUUGUCUUUAUAAACCAGAAAACAAAGUUCAAACAAACAUAAGGAAGAUGAACUGCGACAACAAAAAUAAUUGGAAACUCCAAAAAGGAUAUUUGGAGAAUUGAUGCAAGAAGAAUGUUUCAAAAUCAAGGAAUCCAAUUAAAAGUACAAAAUAUAAAUUUCUCGAUGAUAAAUGAAGCAUCAACGGAUAAACCAAGAAAUCGUUUAGUACAACCAAACAUCAUAAAAUCAAUUAGAUGUGACCGAAUAAAGACAACCAGCUCGCAUCCAAAAUAUUUUUUCGAUAAAAAAGAAGGCGUAACUCUAGAAUUUAAAUAUAAGGCCAAAAUUAAAACGUCAUAGCACAAAAGCCGCAAGGUUUAAAUGCGAGCAACUAUUUAUUUUUCACAAACUAGUAAGCAAAAGUCCAUACAAAAUUUAGGAAAUGGAGACUUCAGAACUAAAAUAAAGCUUUAAAGUCCAAAGAGAAGUUCCAAAAAGAGAAACAAUAUAAUUGAAGAAAUCGAACUAAAAGUACCAAGUUGAAACUUAAUGAUGAAAAAAAAGACCGUCACGCGAGAAUCCAAAGUAAAGUUUUCAUAAACCAGUUAUCAAAGUUCAGACCAACUUAAGGAAGACGAACAGUGAUAACCGAAAAAUUUGGAAACUCCAAAAAGGAUAUUUGAAGAAUCAAUGCAAGAAGAACGUUUGAAAAUAAAGGAAUCCAACUAAAAGUACAAAAUUUAAACUUAUGGAUGAAAAAUGAAGCGCCAAUAAAGAAACCAAUAAAUCGUUCGGACAAGCAUACUACGAUUUUCAUAAAACCAAAUAGCAUGUAAAAAGCAUUAAUACAAUAGAACUAAAAAUAAUAUGGUUUAAAAAAGGAUGGAAAAUGAAGCAUCAAGGGAGAAAACUAGAAAUGUUUGAUAAAAUGAAACCAUGAUUUUCAUCAAGGCAUAGAUGUGCAACAAAAUGGAAGGGUGCAGCUCACGAAAAGUUAUGGAUUAAAAAUGAAGCGUCAAUGGAGAAACCAAUAAAUCGUUCGGAGCAAGCAAACUACGGUUCUCAUAAAAUCAAUAGGAUGCAACCAAAUGUAUAUGUCUAGCCCGUAACCAAGAUAUUUUUUUCGAUAAACAGUGACACGAAACUAUUGAACUUAGUUCUAAGUCUACGAUUAAAAUGCCAGAGCACAGAAAAGCCGCAAGAUUUAAAUGCAUGCAACUAUUUCCUUUUCUAAUAUGGGUCAGCCUACUUAGGAAUUCAUAUUAUUUAUGUGGCUCUUACGAUGAUUUUGUCUUUGGUGGGAGUGGUAUGAGAACCUAUCCUUGUUUGGUUGGUGGAAUACGACCUAAGGUGUCAUUGCUAUGUUGUUUUCUAAUAACAAUACGAUAUUAUUGAUUUUAAAUGUUCACAAAACUUUUCAAGAAUACCAGAUUUAGAAUCUCUAAUGGCAAUUAGGAUGUAACAAGGUUCAAGUCUUCAUGGUCUACGGUCAUGAUCUAACCUUGUUGAUCUCACAUUCGAUAAAUUUAAGUUUUAGGACAGCAAGUAAGACGGUUGGGAAAAUAAGGAUAAAUUGAACAAAACUUUGGGUUACAUCUUAGGGGUUGGCAAUAUUUGUUCUCCGGGUGCUAGUUAGUCAUAUGCAAUCUAAUCCAAGGUGUUCUAGGAAUAUUUGUCGAGUCAUAUUGGAUGCAUCAGGACGGUCUCAUUAUGUGCAUCCAUAAACUUGGGUCGUGGUAGAAAACGGGAUGCUAUAUGGCAUGUAUAGCAAUAACUUUUCUUUUUCUCAAAAAGGCAAGGAUGGAUGGUAUGAUGUCAUGAUGAAUGAAAUGAUGCGAUGCAUGUAUGAAAUGAUACAAUGCUUAUGAAGAUAUUUUGUAUUGCAUACAUGCCAUAGAACAAUCCUUUCGGGAAAAUUGUUCAUGAGACUACUGAGCCUACUCAAGGUUUUUCAUGGGCAUGGGAAUAGUUGCAACUCUUUAUAGGCUUUAGGCUAGGAUAAGGUGACAAAACUACAAAAAAUUUACUCAGACUCGUAACAAAGUUCUCCUUAUCUAGGAAAGAGAUGGUAGAAGUUUUUAAAACCUAAAAGUCAAGUUCCCAAACCAUGUUUGUGAGUUGCUACGAUGUGCAAAUCUUGCAUCCGACCGUAAAGGGGCACAAAAUUUGCACACUGAGCCAUCUCAACUUAAAUUACAUAGUUUGCUUACGACUUGUUCCUAGUAUGAUAUUUCCAUUUAGGCUUGUGGGGGCUUGCAAAGGUUACAUGUUGUCUCUGGUUUGUAAGGUCAUGGCACUCUAUCCCCCUUAAAAUAAAAUAAAAUAAAAUUUUGCAAUGGGGUUUAUCAAGAAAUUUUAAUGGAAGAGCAAAAUAGGUGUAUGUGCCCAUAUGCUGUACUAUCCAGUCCCGAGGCGCAAACUGAAGCAAAAGACUAUGCUAGAUGGGUGAUAAAUUAGAAAAAAAAAAGUAUAUUCAUGAUCCUAACAAAGUUUUCUCCAAUUUGGGUAGGAAAGGUGAUUUUUUUCGACAAAUAGAUUAUUUUAGAGAAAUUGGUCAAGACAAGUGAUGCAGUGCUAGAAUUUACCGGUCUACUAUCUUUACGUAAUUUUUAGGUCAAGUUCUAAAGGUUCAAAAGAAAUUUUUAAAAAGAAAAUUAGAGAGAUUGAUGGGUAACCUUUUUGAGCUACCCUAAACGAACCAAGAUUUUAUCCCUUCUAGAUUGGGCUACACAAAUUCAAUAAACAAGGUAUGUUUUUCGAUAAGCAGGGUAACGUAACUAUAGAAAUUAAAUUAGUUAUUACCCUACUAUUAAAACGUCGGAGCACAAAAAAAGCCACAAGGUUUAAAUGCAAGCAAAUAUUUUCUUUUCACAAACAAGUAAGCAUGCGUUCAAACAAAAUUACAGAAAUUACCAUUUUAGAAGUAAAAUAAAGCUUUCAAUUCUAAAGAGAAGUUCCAAAAAGAGAAACUUUGUAAUUGAAGAAGUCAAACUUAAAGUAUCGAGUUGAAACUUAUUUUUAAAAAAAACCGUUACGCGAGAAACAAAAGUAAAGAUUCAACGAAAGGACGAAAAACGAAACAUAAGGGAGAAACCCAAAAACGUUUGAUACAAAAAAGCCACAAGGUUAACAUGCAAGCAAAUAUUUUCUUUUCACAAAUAAGUAAGCAUAGAUUCAAACAAAAUUUUGGUAAUUUACAUUUCAGAAUUAAAAUAAAGAUUUAAAGUGCAAAGAUAAGUUCCAAAAAGAGAAACUUUGUAAUCGAAGAAAUCAAACUAAAAGUACCAAGUUGAAUCUGAACAAUGAAAAAAGAACCGUCUAGCCCGAAAAAAGCAUGAAUACAAAAGACUAAUAAAUCGUUCAGAACAAGCAAAAACUGCGGUGUUCAUAAAAUCGAAAGGAUGCAACCAAAUAUAUACGUCUAGCCCGCAGCAAAGAUAUUUUUUCGAUAAGCAGGGAAACAUAACUCUAGAACUUAGUUAUAAGUCUACGAUUAAAACGUCAUAGCACAAAAAAAACAGCAAGGUUUAAAUGGUAGAAAUAUUUUCACAAACCAGUAAGCACAAGUACAUACAAAAUUUAGGAAAUUGAGAUUUCAAAACUAAAAUAAAGUUUUAAAGUGCAAAGUUAAGUUCCAAAAAGAGAGUACCAAGUUGAAAUUCAAGUGUGAAAAAACAACCGUCCCUCGAGAAACCAAAAUAAAGUUUUAAAGUGCAAUUACAAAAAAGCCGCAAGGUUUAAAUGCAAGCAAAUAUUUUCUUUUCACAAACAAGCAUAAGUUCAAACAAAAUUACAGAAAUUGCCAUUUCAGAAGUAAAAUAAAGCUUUCAACUCUAAAGAGAAGUUCCAAAAAGAGACUUUGUAAUUGAAGAAAUCAAACUCAAAGCACCGAGUUGAAAC